rnacentral:rRNA from 1 species
UACGGAGGGUGCAAACGUUGUCCGGAAUCACUGGGCGUAAAGCGCAUGUAGGUGGCUUGAUCAGUGGACGAUUAAAUACCGAUGCUUAACAUCGGAACUGUUGUCCAUACUGUCUGGCUUGAGAAUGACAGGGGUAAGCGGAACUUUAGGUGUAGGAGUGAAAUCCGUAGAUAUCUAAAGGGACACCAAUGGCGAAGGCAGCUUACUGGGUCUUUUCUGACACUGAGAUGCGAAAGCGUGGGGAGCGAACGGG